GAAAGAGCACUUAGCAGAUGGGGAUUUUUUAUCAAGUCCCACAUUUACAUAAGUUAUUUCUAUUAUUAUUCAUGUAUAUUAUUUAUUGCUAAGCCUCACACCAUUCCUGUGAAAGUGCAACUAAAGGCAGAUAUUAGGGCUUGGAUUUAAUGUUCCUUAUCAUGGUCUUGAACAAAAAAUUCAGUGAUGCCCCCAAAUAAGCUGCCUGCGUUUUUAACACGACUGCUAGAUUUCAGUAGGUUAAGUGUAACACUUUUGGUGUCUAGGUGUCUUUUUACAUUAAAAGAGGCAAAGCAGCAGAACUCUGUAGCUAUUGCUUCUGGCAGAGAUUUGUUUAGCAUAGUGUGGUAUUAAUUAUAGCAAAUGUUAAGGUAGCAUGUAGAGGUUGCCUUCAAUAAGGGACUGUGCCAGGUGGCCAGCAAAGUGGAUUCUAGGCAGAGCAGGCGUCUAGGUGCUGCCUCCUGUCUGGUUGUGUGAAGAGAGCUGCUCCGAGCAAUGUAGUGCCCCCGUGCCCCCGUAGGUGUCCUGGGCAGCGGUGGGAACACGUGGUACUGUAGAGAAGGGAUCAGCGUGAGGGGUGUUCUGUAGGAACAGAACUGGUAGCGUAUGCCUUGAGGCUUCCUGCCCGUGUUUUCAGAUUCCAGGCAUACAUUCUGUAUACAGAAGCAGUCCAUCCUAGCAAUAAAACCUAGGAAUCCCCAACAACUCAAAAGGCAGUUGCCCUGCUGUGGUUUCUGUCCUGAGCUGAAGGUUAACGGGCAAGUGUUAGGCACAGAAGAGCAUCGUGUGCUGGGGUGCCGUGCCACGGCCCAGGGUGCGUGUUAGCAGUAGAGACUGUUACAGGGUUGUCCCUUCUAGGUGCGUAGAAGUAUAUGGCUUCACUGUAAAGUGUGUAUUGUUUCUGUAUUCCCACAGGGACUUGUUAAAGCUUCUAGAGGCUUCAGCAAAGCUGUAGACCACAGUAAGCUGCUUUUUGUUUGACUUAUUCUUAGACUAGGAAAUGUUUAAAGGUUAAAAAAAAAAAAAAAAGAAUCUUCAUUUAGACACUGAACUCGCUAUUUUCUGGACUGAAAUCAUGGUCCUAGAACUGUAGAAAUCACACCCAUUAGAUGCUAAUCUAGGUUGUGUAAGCCAGCCCCAAGAGUCUAGCAUCCCCACACUGUAUCUGCAUCUUCCUGCAUCUUACCUUCCUUCCCGAAGGUGCUCCCUACCACUACCCUGACCUGUCCCUUUGGUGCUUCCCAUCUCCUUGGCUGAAAGUUAGGCAUCAAGCAUGUGAUGAGAAAUACUUUCAGCACCAAGUAUGCCUGCCUAGGCCUAGCCACCGCCCCCACUUUGCCUUUGGCUAGCCAUAGUCAACAAGAGAUAAUACCUGGUGCUGGGCACAGAAUGAACCCAUGAUGUCAGUCAGAAAAGCCCUCAAGCAUAUUUCUCCUGUACGUCCUGAUCUUUAAACCCAGUCAUUAUGCAGAGCGUUCGCUGUUGGCUAUAGUCCCAGGUUAAAAAAAAAAAAAACAUUCCAGGCUGCUGUAGGCUGUCCAUAUGCAGUCUCUGCUUUUACCUUGCUUUUUCAUACUUGAAAUUCGUUCUGCCAUUUUGAUUUCACGGUGCAGACAUCAGGGUACACGUUCCCUCUGGGUGCAUAAUUGCUCUCAUUCCGUUUGCUCACACUGCUACAGGAUGCUCUGUUUUGGUGCUUUGGGUUCAGCGGGUCAAAAAGCACUGUGGGAAAUCACUGCCUAGAACACAGUCUUAAAAGCAUUUGGGCAGGAGUCUUGGUGUUGAUGUCGCUUCUGCUCUUCUCUGUGCCCUCCAGAUGGAGUUACCAGGUUGGCCUGCCAGGUCCCCCACUCCCACCCCCAAGACCUUUCUCUGAAUGGCCUGUGAACCCUGUGCUGUAUCCAAGGGUGAAUGUGACGUAUCUCCUCUGGCGACCCUACCUUUCCUGGUUACUCACCAUCAGAAACAACCUAGGUUACAUAUAGCAAACUCUACACAGCCUUCCUGAGGGAAAGCAUAAAAGGAUAUCUCUAAGGUUGCUCUUCAAAGCCCUGAGCUGAAGGCCUUUGCUCCCGUCCUUGGAGCUGAUGAAAAUACUGGUCAAUUUAUCCAAGCCCUUCCCACUUACAAGAAUGGGAAAGUAGAGGUUUGUGUCGAUACCAUCUAAAGACCACAACUUCUAGCCAUAGGGUAUUUCAUAUAUGUCCAUUUUCAAAAGCAGCUCAGGUGAGUGGUGACUCCAGGCUCCAUGCAGGCAUCUUAACAUGGGACUUCCCUAGAGAGAGCUACAGUGUUCAUUCUAUGUCACAGGGCAGGAGAGGAGACCGGCAGGAAAUUUGGAGGGUAACAGAUCAAUACUCCUUUGGAAACUGGAUGUCUUACUGGGUGCUAGAAUGCAAAUUUAUGUAUUUAUUGUCUGGUCAUUGAAUUCAUUGCCUUUCAAAACCAUUGUUCAAAUGUCACUAUCAUUGGCCUCACUUGUAUGCCAGCCGAAUUGGUUGAAAGCAAACCAGAGAAUGGUUUGUGCAUUUGCCUUACCAUUUGUACUUCUUACAAUAAAAAUGUCAGUAGCAAAU
rnacentral:lncRNA from 1 species